GAUGAAGAACGUAGCGAAAUGCGAUAAGUAAUGUGAAUUGCAGAAUUCAGUGAAUCAUCGAAUCUUUGAACGCACAUUGCGCCCGCCAGUAUUCUGGCGGGCAUGCCUGUCCGAGCGUCAUUUCAACCAUCAAGCCCCCGGGCUUGUGUUGGGGACCUGCGGCUGCCCGCAGGCCCUGAAAACCAGUGGCGGGCUCGCUGUCACACCGAGCGUAGUAGCAAUCACCUCGCUCAGGGCGUGCUGCGGGUUCCGGCCGUUAAACAGCCUUACAAAACCCAAGGUUGACCUCGGAUCAGGUAGGAAGACCCGCUGAACUUAAGCAUAUCAAUAAGAGGAGGA
rnacentral:misc_RNA from 1 species